GGUAGAGGAAGACAGGUCAGAUGUUAGGUACGGACUAGGGAGGGUACAGGUAGAGGAAGACAGGUCAGAUGUUAGGUACGGACUAGGGAGGGUACAGGUAGAGGAAGACAGGUCAGAUGUUAGGUACGGACUAGGGAGGGUACAGGUAGAGGAAGACAGGUCAGAUGUUAGGUACGGACUAGGGAGGGUACAGGUAGAGGAAGACAGA